rnacentral:lncRNA from 1 species
GCAGGCUGUGAUAUUCUAUAAAACUAGAAGCUAUCUAGACAGUACUUCAACAGAAAGCUGGAUAGAGACACUCCGUCACAUCAAGCUACGAGAAAGUAUAUCAUCUCACAGACUUCUGCUCGAAUACCGCAUCGAAAUCAGACAUUGAAAAUGGCGUCAAAAACCAUGAUUGCUCUCUACUUUCUGAUUGCCUUGGCCGUGGCAGCAAGUGUUUCAGUCCAGGAAGAUGAGAUCGACGAUUCCAAUGCGUUGAGUGUCGAGAAGAACCAGAUCAGCAUAGAGGAGGAGGCUGUAUGUACUCCCCCCUUGACUCAACAUCAAAGAAUGAUAUGUGAGGGUGCAAAUGUUAAUGGGAAAUAAGCGCAUCGAGAAGUUCGAAAAGCAUACUAGCUGGAUCUUUUUCAUUUGCCUGUGGUCAGACGUCGUCUUUGUUUGUUGAGACUUUUUUCAAAUUGAUGCGAGAAAAAAAAAAUCAUCGAUGAUCAGUCAUCACUGACCUUAAAUCCUAACCCCAAAGAAUUAAUAACAUUGCCUCUAAAAUAUAAAAAAAAAUCAAUAAAUAUAUAUAAUCCAUUUUGAAUCUCGUUUCAAAAGUAAGGAAUCAAUAUGCCUACAUGUAGCCCAAUAUAGUUUUGAGUUGACAACUGGUUAGUAAAUUCACUGGAAAUUUGAUUGCUUGAUAUAAUGCAUUGAAGAGUACAAUCUUGUACAUGUGCUUCAUAUGUACUAUAGAGGAACACGUGCAGUGGAAACCAUUGAGGUGAAUACAUUAAUAGAAAUCAAUGAUCUAAACAGUAUGUUCCGAUUGUAAAUUCUCAA